GUAUUUGUCCAACAAUUUCACAUAUCCCUCAUUUUCUGAGUCAUAAGACCAACACUGUGACUCGUAACCUUCGGGGUCACUAUCUUCCUCCUUUUGAUACUCAUCGUGGUAAGCUAUGUUGCCGUCGAUUUGUUCUUAUCUUCAACUUGUUCAACUUUCAACAACAGAGCUACCUGCAAUCUUUAGUUCGCUACCUGGCCAUUCGCCAUGGAAGCUAUCCUUAGU
rnacentral:misc_RNA from 1 species